AUGCAAGUCGAGCGGGGGAAGGUAGCUUGCUACUGGACCUAGCGGCGGACGGGUGGGUAAUGCUUAGGAAUCUGCCUAUUAGUGGGGGACAACAUCUCGAAAGGGAUGCUAAUACCGCAUACGUCCUACGGGAGAAAGCAGGGGAUCUUCGGACCUUGCGCUAAUAGAUGAGCCUAAGUCGGAUUAGCUAGUUGGUGGGGUAAAGGCCUACCAAGGCGACGAUCUGUAGCGGGUCUGAGAGGAUGAUCCGCCACACUGGGACUGAGACACGGCCCAGACUCCUACGGGAGGCAGCAGUGGGGAAUAUUGGACAAUGGGGGGAACCCUGAUCCAGCCAUGCCGCGUGUGUGAAGAAGGCCUUAUGGUUGUAAAGCACUUUAAGCGAGGAGGAGGCUACUUUAGUUAAUACCUAGAGAUAGUGGACGUUACUCGCAGAAUAAGCACCGGCUAACUCUGUGCCAGCAGCCGCGGUAAUACAGAGGGUGCGAGCGUUAAUCGGAUUUACUGGGCGUAAAGCGUGCGUAGGCGGCUUAUUAAGUCGGAUGUGAAAUCCCCGAGCUUAACUUGGGAAUUGCAUUCGAUACUGGUGAGCUAGAGUAUGGGAGAGGAUGGUAGAAUUCCAGGUGUAGCGGUGAAAUGCGUAGAGAUCUGGAGGAAUACCGAUG
rnacentral:rRNA from 1 species